AGGACGAACGCUGGCGGCGUGCUUAACACAUGCAAGUCGAACGGUGACGGAGGAGCUUGCUCCUCCUGAUCAGUGGCGAACGGGUGAGUAACACGUGAGUAACCUGCCCCAGACUCUGGAAUAACCCCGGGAAACCGGAGCUAAUACCGGAUACGAGACGGAGUCGCAUGGCUACCGUCUGGAAAGUUUUUCGGUCUGGGAUGGACUCGCGGCCUAUCAGCUUGUUGGUGAGGUAACAGCUCACCAAGGCGACGACGGGUAGCCGGCCUGAGAGGGCGAUCGGCCACACUGGGACUGAGACACGGCCCAGACUCCUACGGGAGGCAGCAGUGGGGAAUAUUGCACAAUGGGCGAAAGCCUGAUGCAGCGACGCCACGUGAGGGAUGAAGGCCUUCGGGUUGUAAACCUCUUUCAGCAGGGAAGAAGCGAAAGUGACGGUACCUGCAGAAGAAGCACCGGCUAACUACGUGCCAGCAGCCGCGGU
rnacentral:rRNA from 1 species